GUGCUCACUUUGGCAGCACAUACAUUAAAAUUGGAACAACACAGAUUAGCAUGGCCCCUGCACAAGGAUGACACACAAAUUCGUGAAGCAUUCUAUAUUUUA
rnacentral:snRNA from 1 species